CGGCCACGCGGAGCCGCGUCUCGACUCCGACGCUGUCCCCGGGCAGAGCCGCCACGGAGGGUCAAUUAUUCAUGGGGCGCCCGGGCGUGCUCCCAAGACCUGCUCUGCCCUCAGCUUCUCGGGCGGAGUGGGCAGAGGACGGGGGAAAAGUUCCCAGAGUAAAAGUUGGCCGCAUUUCUCCUUUCCCCCAAGUAAGUAUUGAGCACCUGCUGGAUGCCUGGGACUUGGACCGGGGCCGCUGCCAGGGGCUGCGGGGAAACGGGAGGUCUCCGCGGGCCCCCGAGUUUCCGCAGGAAACAAUGCCUGAGGAGGCUGGCGCUCCAGACCAGGUCAGGGAAGGGAAGGAAAGCCUUCGCCUCCCGCCUCUCUUCCUUCCUCCCGGCUGCAUCUCCUUGGCUCCACCCCUUCUCAUCAAUUCCUCCCACACUUCCCUGCUUUCCCCGGCUUUUCAGUGGAGGGUCCCUUCUCCCAGCGAGGAGCAGAUGUUGAGCCCCAUUGUCUCUCCCCCCGCAGUGACUGCAGCCUCCCCGGACCGACCUGCUCCUCGGCACCCCUCCCCCCCGCAGCCAGGAGGCCUGGGCCUUCAGAGACUGGAGCCCCAAGGCCACUGCCCCUCACCCCACCCUGAACCAGCUCCUGGUGAUGUGAGCAAUGACUGCAGUCACUCAGAACAUGAUUUGUUUCUGACUGGGAGUGAGAAAACAGUAGCCUGAGACUCGGCUUGGGCAAGGAGGACACCAUCGUCUUAAUAUCAGCACACGGAGCCCCCCAAGACCUCAGAGCCUUCGACCACUACGCCCCCUUAAUAGGGUGACACAUUUCUGUCAUUUUCUUUCCUCCAGAUUCGUGCACCUAAGUGGUAUCCUUCAAACAAAGCAAAGCACAGCUCCGAUGGUCAAGCGUUCAUUUAACAAACGCUUACUGAGUACCUGCUGGGUGCCUGCUCUUGAGCUGGGUGCAAAGGUCCUCAGUUAGGCCUUGCAGACCCGCAGGGAAAUAAGAAGACAGCAGCAACCACAGUGCCAGGUGGCCUGGAUUGGGGACACCUCCGUCUCAUCAAGGUGGCCCAGGCGUCAUCUCAGGAGCAUGACUGGAAUGUGGAGACAGGCUACGAAGGCCAGGCCUCAGCAGGGGAGGGUAGCCGGCCUGAAGGACGCAUAGGAAUCGGAAGAGAGUGGCCCCUGGGAGCAGGACACAAGUUCGUUGUGAAAUAGUUUGAAAAUCAGCUAAGCAAAACUGAAAAGGACACCCCCGUGGAGCCAUUAUAGUUUGGUACACAUCCUUGGGCGUUUUCUAUCCACGUAUUUACGUGGAAAUGCACAUAAUAAUAAAACUAUACAAAGUAAAUAUUGUUGC